GGGCAGAAAAGAAUCACUCAGCUGUAUCAGGUUUGGCAAAGAAACAGGGCACGCACUUUUAUAUCAUUCUUUCUCCGAAGGUAAUCGAGUGAAUACGUUAUUGUUUGCUUAGCCAAUUAGCCAUGCCAAACAGGAUGUUUCUGCAGUCUCUGGCAAAUGGUAGGUGGUGGAGCUGGAAGAAUAGUUGAGACAAAACCUAUGUGUAGAGAAGACAUGGAAAUCGGCCCUACCUGAUUAAGCUUUGGUAUCUAAUGAACCACAAACUCUUAUUUUCAGGUCCUUGUCUGAGUUCAGCAUUCCUUUUGUUUAGCUAUAUUAUCACGUUGUGAUUGUACCGACUAUGGAGCUUGGAAUCAUGUUCCAUCCGUCUUUCUAGGAUGCUCCCUGCUGAAAAUUCUAAUGAAGACCUUGGGAUUGUAUUGCUUAUUAUGAGUACGUAGUGGGGGAAAAGGAAGAGGAAAGGGAUAUCGUGGAUUCUACCAUUCAGAGUCUAGGUCAUAUUCAUAUGAGAAGAGGCCAAGCAAUUUCAGUGGAAAAAAACAAAGAUUAUUAAGGUCAAGGAGCAUUUUCUGAUAGGUGCAGUUAAAAUUAUCUGCUGUAUUAUUAUGGGAUGCAUAAAAUCAAAGCAAGAGUGCAACUUGCACAAAACUAUACGGUUGAAGAGAAAUAAAGAAAAUGAUGAGAUGCACAAUAAAGAGAAGGUUUGUUUGGUCCAAGCUAACCAGGAAGAUAGUAAAUUCUGCUCAUGCACUGCUAGUCCACUGCUUUUGGAGUAUGCCCACCGGCUAUCAGAGGAUAUUGUAAACAAGGCUGUGAGACAGUGGGCAGAAGUGGACAGCAAGUACAGUGAUAUCCCCUACAUAGAAAGUGAUGCAGUAUGAAAAGUUGCAAACACAAAACACUAAUAGUUUGCAACUGAUUUGUUUAGUACAGAAAUUGUCAUAGAUAGCUCAUAUAUUUUUUAUAAUAUACCAUCUACAAUGUUUUAAAUGUAAAAGAAACCUUGCUAAAACCAAAUCGAGCAAUGGGACAUGAAACUAUGGUUAGCAGAGGUAACCAAAGUUAACUUCUUGCUGUCCUCCUUAACUAUGCAAUACAAUUCAUCAUGUUAAACUAACAUCUAAAUUAACCAGAUGCAAAAGUACACCAUUAAAUCCUUAAGCAGCUGAUGGGAAAUUUAUUUCAGAGCUUCUAGUUGAAAUUACAUAAAAACAUAUAGGCAAGUUAAUUUACUUCUGAUACAAAACAUCUUAGUCUGUUGUGUAAAUGCAACAGGGCCUUAGACUGUAAACUCCUCUGAGACAGAGACUGAUGUCAGUGAUAAACAGUGCACAUUUGUCAGUGCUAUAUAAUGGAAAAUAAAUUAAAUUGAAAUGACAGUUAUCUAAAACAGAUACUUAUGCCAAUGGGUUUUAAAGUAGUGCAUUUUAAGUACUUUCUCCCAAGAUUUAAAGACAGUUUACAGCUAUAUAGACCGGCAAUAAAAAAAGACAUAAUUUACAUUUCUCAUGGUAAAAGUGAAAGACUUGUUUUGCAGCCAGUGGAUGAAUUCAAUUUUGUAAAUUAAUAGUUCGAAAAAUGUAACCAAUUCUCUUCUGUGGAGAAGGCAUUGAGAUGUGCUUGGUAUUUUUCCCAUAAUAUGUAAAAUCUUUAUAACAGAAAAUAAGCAGACAGGAUAUGGUCAGAAACUUAUUGAGGCUAUAAUAGUAACUACAAAGGACAAUUAAGUAAUCCCACCUUCCUUAACAGAUGGCAUCUACAUAACAGUAAUCAUAUCAGAUGCAUGGUACAAACAAAAAGAACUGAAACAGCUGGAUACAGAUUAAUAGCAUGUUUUGGGGGCACAUGCACAGUAUUUUGUAUAAAAGCAUUUUUGAAAUAUUCUUUCCCAUAAUCCUCUGGAAUGCAGCUGACUGCUUUGGUGGCUAAAAAUAUUGUAACCCUUUUUAACCACGUUGCCUUUUUCAUGUACAUAUUCAUCUACUGCCAAGCUUUCUUGCGCAUUUUGCACUCAUUACAGUUUUUUAGGUUUUUGUUACAAAAAUAACUCUAAGACAAAUUCUUUAUCAUCUGAAUACACUGGGCUAUAACAUGCACAUUUUAAUUUUUACAAAAUGAAUUUUGUAAUUUGAGAUGUAACCAAAAUUUGGGUAAAAUAAAAAAAAAAAUAUUCAUAGUUUGUGUUUUUUCCUAAGAAAAAAUGGACUUAUAUAAAAGCAUACAGAGAUACCAAACACAACAAUUUUCUUGUCCAGGACAUCCAAAAUAUCCCAAACUAACUUACAACAUAACAUAUAAAAUAUAUAUAAUUAUACUAUGAAUAAUUUUGUAUAAAGCUAAAUAUCAAUACUAAUUACAAAUCCAAUGAACACACCACAUAAUUGUGGUGCAACUGUGAUAUAAGUAUGACUAUAACACAUUCUGAAACACUCUAUGAAACAUAACUCUCUAUCCCUUCAGCACAGAUUAUAUAUGAAUAUUGUAGGUAAGUCAUUUAGCUCUUGCUGUUUUAUUUACACUGUGCAAAUUCUUCCUGAGAAUCACACCAUGCCAGCCCUGUUUUAUUAACUGCCUCCCUGGAUUAUCCUGCUUAUCUGUGGCAAUAAAUUUGGCCUCAAUCAUUUCCCUGACCCAUCACAGAGUUUUAAAUUAACUCAGCUAUUUUUCUCAGUGCUGAGAAUAAAAGAAAACACAAGCAGACACAGAAAAAGGUAGAAAAUAGUUGCUCUUUGCUCCAGAAAUAGCAAAAUACUCAGGCCAGGGUCAACUGGGCAUCUAACACUAGUCUGCUACAAAAAAGUUGGAAUAUAAAUAUAUACAUUAUAUAUUAUAUAUAUACACACACACACACAUAGAGGCAGUCCCCAGGUUACGUAUGAGGUUCUGUAGGUUUGUUCUGAAACUGAAUUUGUGUGUAAGUUGGAACAGGUAAAUUUACAUAUUAAAUGCAACUUAGAUGUUUGUCCUAACAUAGUAUUUAUUUUUACCUUUCUGUGUAUAUAAAUACUUUAACAGUUUCAAAUACCAGUAUUAGAGAUUCAGGGUCUGAUUCUGCUGCUGGAGUCAGUUUCUUGAAGUAAGCACCAAGGGAGGUUUGUACAGAGAUUAUCUUUUUUUCAUCAUAAAUGGCCAUUUAGCAUCUCAGGUCUUAGGUAACUGUACUGUAAACUUUGCUGAACCUUUCUGAAUAAGGAUCUUGGUCCUCUAACUUUGCCAUGCCUGCUUCAUUGAGACAAAAAACAUCAGCUAACUGUUUUGUAGGAAACUUUUUUCAGUUUUGUAGUUUGAUGCCUUAUGUCUUGGUGUACUUUUUUCCUUCUAUAUUAAAAAUUUGUAAAUCUCCCUCAUCAAUAAUA